GUUUUUAUGUACAAAUCAAGCAUAUACAUUCAAUAAAAACUUUUUACAAAAAAAAGAAAACCGACUUCAAAAAGGAUGAAAUAAAAUAUUAUCCUUUUUAAGUCUAUGCGUUACCAACUGAUAUGUUUGAAGUCGGUGCCAAGCCAACUUUUGAAGCAUACCAUGAUUUUGGUGCGAUUCUAUAAUGAUUUACGUUGGAUUGCCUUACACGACGACAAUGAACGUACUUUCUGUAGGUACAGUCGUCGUUAAAAAUAUGUUUACACUUUUCGUCUUAUAUUACAUAUUACAAAGGAGUACGGUGCAAAAGUGUAAACAUAUCUUUGACGUCGACUGUACCUAAGAACACACGAUCAAAUCUUCUUGGUACAGUCCGUACCAUGUUUGUCGGCACGCAAGCGUGGGAUUGGGACUGAGUUAUUUCCCGUCCCUUAUUCAGAGGACUACAUUUCAAAAUAUAAAACAAUUCAAGGAAUUUACUUUCUUGCCAAAUUUCACCUAAAGCGGUUCAGUUGUUUAGCCAUGAAAAGGCGACAAAGAGGCAGACAGAAUUACUUACACAUUUAUAAUUAGUUAUUAGUACAGUUCUAAUGGGAUUUAUAGUCAUAAAGCUGAUUAUUUUUGACGGGUAUUGUUACUACUUGGCUUGGCACCGACUUCAAACAUAUCAGUUGGUAACGCAUAGACUUAAAAAGGAUAAUAUUUUAUUUCAUCCUUUUUGAAGUCGGUUUUCUUUUUUUUGUAAAAAGUUUUUAUUUUUCCAUUUUUAGUUUUUAACGCAUUGUUAAAAAGUGCGCGACGCAUGAAUGAAAAACAACAUCAUGAUUAACACUAAAUUCGUGUACCUACUUUAAUAAAUAUGUACUUAAUCAGGAAUUUUUUCGAGUCCGUCUGGGAAAUUAUAAUUCCUGACACUACACUAAAUCCAUCCUCCGCCCCGCCGCUGACCCAAUCCCUCAACUCCCCGAUCACUCUACCUCACAGCGCAUCAACCCCUGAUCCAUGAACCCCUCGACCCUGAACCAGCAGCCCUUCAACCGCCAUUCCCUUAACUUCGCUUCGCCUUAACUCCUAACCCUAACCCCCGAUCAGUAGCCUUACCAGCUUACCAAGAGUUUGACAUUGAUUUAUUCGCUAGCGUGUGUGUAACUUACUUUCUUUGCAUCUCGCUCGUACUGGUAUAUUAGUGCGAGCGAGAUGCAUAAAUAGUAAGUUACGAAGACGUUAGCGUCGCUAACUUAGCGAAUAUGUCAAUGUCAAACUCGUGGUAAGGCUACACUUGGCUACACUUGCACUACAUCAAAUUGGCGGUUUUCGGAAGCAAAUGCUCGAGUUACUUUAGAAAACACCGAAAUCACUUUACACGUGCCUUUAAAAACUGAGGAGUUCCCUCAAUUCCUCGUGGAUUCCAUCAUCAGACCAGAACCAAAAAUAAUACGGAAACACCUUGGAGGUAGCUCCUUUCAAACAAAAAAGAAUUACUCAAAUCGGACUACGGAUGUCG